rnacentral:rRNA from 1 species
GAUGAACGCUGGCGGCGUGCCUAAUACAUGCAAGUCGAGCGAACAGACGAGGAGCUUGCUCCUCUGACGUUAGCGGCGGACGGGUGAGUAACACGUGGAUAACCUACCUAUAAGACUGGGAUAACUUCGGGAAACCGGAGCUAAUACCGGAUAAUAUAUUGAACCGCAUGGUUCAAUAGUGAAAGACGGUUUUGCUGUCACUUAUAGAUGGAUCCGCGCCGCAUUAGCUAGUUGGUAAGGUAACGGCUUACCAAGGCGACGAUGCGUAGCCGACCUGAGAGGGUGAUCGGCCACACUGGAACUGAGACACGGUCCAGACUCCUACGGGAGGCAGCAGUAGGGAAUCUUCCGCAAUGGGCGAAAGCCUGACGGAGCAACGCCGCGUGAGUGAUGAAGGUCUUCGGAUCGUAAAACUCUGUUAUUAGGGAGGAACAAAUGUGUAAGUAACUAUGCACGUCUUGACGGUACCUAAUCAGAAAGCCACGGCUAACUACG